AUUGAACGCUGGCGGCAGGCCUAACACAUGCAAGUCGAACGGUAACAGGAAGCAGCUUGCUGCUUCGCUGACGAGUGGCGGACGGGUGAGUAAUGUCUGGGAAACUGCCCGAUGGAGGGGGAUAACUACUGGAAACGGUAGCUAAUACCGCAUAACGUCGCAAGACCAAAGAGGGGGACCUUCGGGCCUCUUGCCAUCGGAUGUGCCCAGAUGGGAUUAGCUUGUUGGUGAGGUAACGGCUCACCAAGGCGACGAUCCCUAGCUGGUCUGAGAGGAUGACCAGCCACACUGGAACUGAGACACGGUCCAGACUCCUACGGGAGGCAGCAGUGGGGAAUAUUGCACAAUGGGCGCAAGCCUGAUGCAGCCAUGCCGCGUGUAUGAAGAAGGCCUUCGGGUUGUAAAGUACUUUCAGCGGGGAGGAAGGUGUUGUGGUUAAUAACCGCAGCAAUUGACGUUACCCGCAGAAGAAGCACCGGCUAACUCCGUGCCAGCCGCCGCGGUAA
rnacentral:rRNA from 1 species